rnacentral:rRNA from 1 species
UACGAGGGGGGCGAGCGUUGUUCGGAAUUAUUGGGCGUAAAGGGUGCGUAGGCGGUUUGGUAAGUCUUAUGUGAAAUCUUCGGGCUCAACUCGAAGUCUGCAUGAGAAAGUGCCGGGCUUGAGUAUGGGAGAGGUGAGUGGAAUUCCCGGUGUAGCGGUGAAAUGCGUAGAGAUCGGGAAGAACACCAAUGGCGAAGGCACUCUGCUGGGCCGCGACUGACACUGAGAGACGAAAGCUAGGGGAGCAAACAGG